rnacentral:rRNA from 1 species
CAGGACGAACGCUGGCGGCGUGCCUAAUACAUGCAAGUCGAACGAGCUCUCCUAAAUUGAUUUUAUGCUUGCAUAAAUGAUUUUUAGAUUCGGAGCGAGUGGCGAACUGGUGAGUAACACGUGGGUAACCUGCCCCGAAGCGGGGGAUAACAUUUGGAAACAAAUGCUAAUACCGCAUAAUUAGUUGGAACCGCAUGGUUCCAACUUGAAAGAUGGCUCUGCUAUCACUUUGGGAUGGACCCGCGCCGUAUUAGUUAGUUGGUGAGAUAAAAGCCCACCAAGACGAUGAUACGUAGCCGACCUGAGAGGGUAAUCGGCCACAUUGGGACUGAGACACGGCCCAGACUCCUACGGGAGGCAGCAGUAGGGAAUCUUCCACAAUGGACGAAAGUCUGAUGGAGCAACGCCGCGUGAGUGAUGAAGGUUUUCGGAUCGUAAAACUCUGUUGUUAAAGAAGAACAAGUGUUAGAGUAACUGUUAACACUUUGACGGUAUUUAACCAGAAAGCCACGGCUAACUACGUGCCAGCAGCCGCGGUAAUACGUAGGUGGCAAGCGUUGUCCGGAUUUAUUGGGCGUAAAGCGAGCGCAGGCGGUUUUGUAAGUCUGCUGUGAAAGCCCUCAGCUCAACUGAGGAAGUGCAGUGGAAACUACAAAACUUGAGUACAGAAGAGGAAAGUGGAACUCCAUGUGUAGCGGUGAAAUGCGUAGAUAUAUGGAAGAACACCAGUGGCGAAGGCGGCUUUCUGGGUCUGUUACUGACGCUGAGGCUCGAAAGCAUGGGUAGCGAACAGGAUUAGAUACCCUGGUAGUCCAUGCCGUAAACGAUGAAUACUAGGUGUUGGAGGGUUUCCGCCCUUCAGUGCCGCAGCUAACGCAUUAAGUAUUCCGCCUGGGGAGUACGACCGCAAGGUUGAAACUCAAAGGAAUUGACGGGGGCCCGCACAAGUGGUGGAGCAUGUGGUUUAAUUCGAUGCUACGCGAAGAACCUUACCAGCUCUUGACAUCUUCUGCCAACCCAAGAGAUUGGGCGUUCCCUUCGGGGACAGAAUGACAGGUGGUGCAUGGUUGUCGUCAGCUCGUGUCGUGAGAUGUUGGGUUAAGUCCCGCAACGAGCGCAACCCUUAUUAUUAGUUGCCAGCAUUUAGUUGGGCACUCUAGUGAGACUGCCGGUGAUAAACCGGAGGAAGGUGGGGACGACGUCAAAUCAUCAUGCCCCUUAUGAGCUGGGCUACACACGUGCUACAAUGGAUGGUACAACGAGUCGCGAAACCGCGAGGUCAAGCUAAUCUCUUAAAGCCAUUCUCAGUUCGGAUUGCAGGCUGCAACUCGCCUGCAUGAAGUUGGAAUCACUAGUAAUCGUGGAUCAGCAUGCCACGGUGAAUACGUUCCCGGGCCUUGUACACACCGCCCGUCA